rnacentral:rRNA from 1 species
UACGAAGGGUGCAAGCGUUACUCGGAAUUACUGGGCGUAAAGCGUGCGUAGGUGGUUUGUUAAGUCUGUUGUGAAAGCCCCGGGCUCAACCUGGGAAUGGCAAUGGAUACUGGCAGGCUAGAGUGCGGUAGAGGGUAGUGGAAUUCCCGGUGUAGCGGUGAAAUGCGUAGAGAUCGGGAGGAACACCAGUGGCGAAGGCGGCUUCCUGGACCAGCACUGACACUGAGGCCCGAAAGCGUGGGGAGCAAACAGG